AGACUUUCAACAACGGAUCUCUUGGUUCUGGCAUCGAUGAAGAACGCAGCGAAAUGCGAUAAGUAGUGUGAAUUGCAGAAUUCAGUGAAUCAUCGAAUCUUUGAACGCAAUUGCGCCCUUGGAUCCGAGGCAUGCCUGUC
rnacentral:rRNA from 1 species